GACGAACCGUGCGAACGUUAUUCGGAAUCACUGGGCUUAAAGCGCGUGUAGGCGGGCCGGCACGUCGGCUGCUGAAAUCCCCCGGCUCAACCGGGGAAGGGGCACCGAUACGACCGGCCUGGAGGGGGGUAGGGGGGACGGGAACUUCCGGUGGAGCGGUGAAAUCGUUGAGAUCGGAAGGAACGCCCGCGGCGAAAGCGCGUCCCUGGACCCCGCCUGACGCUGAGACGCGAAAGCCAGGGGAGCGGAA
rnacentral:rRNA from 1 species